GGUGGUGCUCCUCAGUCUACAACUCCAGAAUCUAUUCUUUCAGUUUUAUAUUUAUUGUUGUUAUUGCUCAGUUUUGGUUACACAAGUUUGUGUUCCUACAGGUUUUGGAUCCUGAAGGAGAAAGCGGGUCCUAAGGGUGGAAGCAGAGCAAUUGGAGCUCGAACUGGAGAUGCGUAGAGAGUUAAGGGAGUAGAUGCUGCAACUCUUGUGGCCUACGCUCGAGCUGAAGCCAGAUUAGUGAUGAGGGGGGCAGUUGUCCUUGCUGCUAAGCAUGC